UUUAGGUCCUGGUGGGAAGGAAGGCUCAGCACCCCUUUAUAUGUGUUUCUGUGCGUAGAAAUGCACUUGAUCACCAAUUUGCACUAUUUAAUACAAGCAUCUUUUAAGUCCUGUUCUAGGCGGAUUUAUGAUGAGAUUCAGGGUAAUAUAUGGCAGAAAAAUUCUGGCGUUAUGGCCUCAUUUUUUUAAAAAACUACUCCCUCAGUCUCACUUCUAUUUAUAACCACCAUGUUGAUGACACGAAAAAUGAUUCAAUAUUUUAAUUCAUAAGAAGGAUUGAAAGUCCUCUACAUCUUGCAGUAAAACUGUGCCUAAAUUAUCAUGAGAAUUAAUCUCGUUAAAAGAAGUUAUUGCCUUACCUGUGCUUAAUUCUGUGUGGGGAGAGCACUAUUGAAUAGAGUAAGGUCAUCCUUAGAAGUUUGGACCAACCAUUUACAGGUCACAUAACACAUUGAGUGUAUGUGUAAAAAGGCCAUCUGAUCCAAUCAAGAGAACUCAACUGAUGACUUUACACUAUAGACCAGUCAGUGUGGGUGUUUUAACCACUAGGUCAAUAAAUAGGUGUCCAAGCGUUCUUACUAUAUAUAAAGAGAAAGAAAUUGUAUUGCCGAACAAUCAAAAUGACCUCAGUCAAAUCCCCUGCUUACACAUAGCUUUAGUCUAGUCCCUCAGGAAAGUUCAACAGAAGAUAUAAUCAUGUUCCUUUCCACAUUUUGUUCUUCUCUAUUCCAUGCUAAAUUUUACACAUUUUCCAGAAUUCUAACCUAAAUCUUAUGAAACUCACCUUGAUGUUUACCCUCUCCCAUUGCUUGUACCUUACUUCUCUUGGCAUCAGAAAUGAAACUUCUGGGUUUCAAAACUGUGUGAUCAAAGUCUUUGAAUAGGGGACUCAUCUACUAAGUACAUGGAAGAAUUUUUUCUAUUGUACAAAAACUAGACUUAAGGAGCUAUAGUUUCACUUUUAAAGUUAGAUGAAAAAACAAAUAUGUUUUGCGUUAAUUAAUUUAAAGACCUGUUCUGCUUGUGUAAAAUUGCUGAUCCAUAUUGACCUUAAUUUUUUUCUAAUAUAUUGGAAUUUUGCACAUGUGCACCAUUUUCCUGUCCAUCCUCAGAUUCGUUUCAUAUGUCACUUGCCUUGAAGUGAGAUCCGUUUUGGAAGUUGGAGUGAGAGGGGCAAGUGGAGCUGCUCUUGAGCCCAUUCCAAAUUCUUGUCUCUCUCUGUAACCAGGAUGUUCCCUUUUGGAAUCCAGCCACCAUACUUUAAAGAAGUUUAGACUAUCCUGCUAGAGAGAGAGGCCUCAUGAAGGAGAACUGAGGCACCCCAGCUACCUGCUGAAUUCAG
rnacentral:lncRNA from 1 species